UGGGGAAUAUUGCACAAUGGGCGCAAGCCUGAUGCAGCCAUGCCGCGUGUGUGAAGAAGGCCUUCGGGUUGUAAAGCACUUUCAGCGGGGAGGAAGGCGGUGAGGUUAAUAACCUCAUCGAUUGACGUUAUCCGCAGAAGAAGCACCGGCUAACUCCGUGCCAGCAGCCGCGGUAAUACGGAGGGUGCAAGCGUUAAUCGGAAUUACUGGACGUAAAGCGCACGCAGGCGGUCUGUCAAGUCGGAUGUGAAAUCCCCGGGCUCAACCUGGGAAAUGCAUCUGAUAAUGGCAAGCUUGAGUCUCGUAGAGGGAGGUAGAAUUCCAGAGGCAGCCAUUAAAUGCGUAGAUAUCUGGGUGGAUACCGGUGUCGAUGGCGGCCCCCUGGACGAAGACUAACGCUCAGGUGCGAAAGCGUGGGGAGCAAACAGG
rnacentral:rRNA from 1 species